rnacentral:lncRNA from 1 species
UUUAGGUGUCCUAUUGCUUAUUAAUUUAAUGCUGUCUAUUGGUUUGUUAUUUAUUGCUUUUUUAAAUUUUAAACAUUUUUUAUUAUUUUUUUAUCAGAACAGUUUAUUGACAAGAUAGCAUGUAAUGACCCAGUCCCUAAAUAUACAACAUCAAACAGAGAGUCCUGUCUAGAGAUGGUUAAUCAAGGGCACCCCAUGGGCGGGCAACUCCUGGUGCAGCUGCUGGAAGAUCAUGGCACAAUGGUUCCUCUCCUGGGUCUUGGCAAGAGCGUGGUACAGCCUGGCCUGGAAUUAAGCAGCAUCCCUGAUGCGCGCUCUGCAGUCGACUUGUGCAAAGUAGUUCUUGGCUUCACUGAGUUUCUGAAUGGCCGCUUCCAGACCUUCCGCUUUCUUCACUGGGUCAUAGGACGCUGCCGAAACCUCUUGGCACUUGGACACUAAGAACAUGCACGACCUUUGUCCAGGAUAGCCCCGUCAGCUAGGAUGGGCUUGAUAGCCAUGUGAAGAAGGGUUAAGGCCUGUUCCGGGAUUCUAAGGAUGAGCUGGGCAUAAGCCAAGUUGAGCACAGUUUCGAAGGCCAAGGACUGUAAUCGGUAUUCUUUGGAGAGGGCCAGAGCUUCCAGGAGCCCAGGCAUGGUGAUAGUCGGGGACGAAAGAGCGCCAGUACAGCUCUGUCACUGACACGAGGACGCUGAUGACUAUUUCUAUAUUCUUUAACUUCUGACAGUACGUCAGCAACUUCUGCAGAAGCUUGUGUGCCUCUGUCAUUUGGUUCUGAGCUUGCAGUACGACUGCUUUCCUGUAUACACCUUCUAUGCCAUUAAGCACUGUGAUUCCUGUAACAAGUGAAUCAGCCCAAUGAAUUUGCCUUCAUUCAGUGCUCUGUCAAACUGUAUUUUUUGAUCCCACAGCAUCCAUUUCUGGGCGUGCUGACUGUUGGGUGGAAAUCGGUCUUUCAAGUGCUUUAAUACUUCACCAGCAGCCACGAAACAGCUCUGUUUUGCAUGGAACUCUGCAAGAUGGCAGAGAGCGAAGGCAAAGGACUCAGUAUUGUUCUGAUGCACGCCCGCAUUCAGCAACUCCAGGCUGUUCAUGCUCAGCAACAUCUGGGCUUGAUGCAGUGCCAUGGUGCUGCGGCCUUACAGCCUCCAGAUGGCCGUUUUCUGUGCAAUGCGGAUAUCGAUAAGUUCCGACAAGCUGUGUUUCCAGUGCAGGAGGUCAGAGUCCUUUAGGGCAUCCAUCAGUCUGUUGGCCGUUUUCCCAGCAAAACCUCCUUGUUCAAAACUUUUUCAGCUCAACGCACAGCCUCCUGCAUUAUUUUGACCACCUGAUUCUCAGUGGUGCAGAGGGAAAAAGUAAUGAGGAAGAAGGUUAUGGCGGGAGCCUGAGAUAUGCUGUUCUCAACCUGGCUGCCCUGCACUGCCUCUUCUGUCACUAUCAACAGGCAGAGCUCGCCCUGCAGGAGGCAAUUAGGAUUGCCCAGGAGUCCAAGGAUCACGUGUGUCUGCAGCACUGUUUGAGCUGGCUUUAUGUGCUGGGGCAGAAGAGAGCCCAUAGCUAUGUUCUGUUGGAGCACUCUGUGAAGAAUGCAGUACAUUUUGGGUUAUUUAUUGCUUUUAUUAUGUUUAGGAUGUAUCUUGUAUCCUUCUAUUCUGGAGGACUUUUAACAAGAAGUUGUGUAGGGUUUUUCAGCAUCCAAAAGAUGAUAAUUUUUUUUACUUAUUUUUAUUUUAUUUAUUUUUUUCUAUGUUGGUGGAUUGAGUUGAUGGGCUUUGCUAUCUAUCAACACCUGAAUCCCUGAAAUGAAGCCUACUUGAACAUCCUAGAUGGUGUCUUUGAUGUGUUCUUGGAUUCUGUGUGUGAUAUUUGAAUGUUCAUGAUGGAACUUCUUCUCUGAUUCCCUUUCCAUGUUGUGUGUUUGUGUGAUUUAAUUACCAGGUUGCUUGUGGCCUCAGAGAAGGAGUUUGACCAUGAUCAUUCUGUUUCUAUUUAGUUGAGUAUUUAGAGGACUAUUGGUAUUAGGUCUUCAUUAAAAGUCUUGGAGAAUUCUGC